UACGUAGGGUGCAAGCGUUAAUCGGAAUUACUGGGCGUAAAGCGUGCGCAGGCGGUUUUGUAAGUCUGUGUGAAAUCCCCGGGCUUAACCUGGGAAUUGCGUUGGAGACUGCAAGGCUGGAGUCUGGCAGAGGGGGGUAGAAUUCCACGUGUAGCAGUGAAAUGCGUAGAGAUGUGGAGGAACACCGAUGGCGAAGGCAGCCCCCUGGGUCAAGACUGACGCUCAGGCACGAAAGCGUGGGGAGCAAACAGG
rnacentral:rRNA from 1 species